rnacentral:rRNA from 1 species
AGUCGAGGGGUAUUUGUCUUCGGAUAGAGAGACCGGCGCACGGGUGCGUAACGCGUAUGCAAUCUACCUUUUACAGAGGGAUAGCCCAGAGAAAUUUGGAUUAAUACCUCAUAGUAUUAUGACUCGGCAUCGAGAUAUAAUUAAAGUUCCAACGGUAAAAGAUGAGCAUGCGUCCCAUUAGCUAGAUGGUAAGGUAACGGCUUACCAUGGCAACGAUGGGUAGGGGUCCUGAGAGGGAGAUCCCCCACACUGGUACUGAGACACGGACCAGACUCCUACGGGAGGCAGCAGUGAGGAAUAUUGGACAAUGGGCGCAAGCCUGAUCCAGCCAUGCCGCGUGCAGGAUGACGGUCCUAUGGAUUGUAAACUGCUUUUGUACGGGAAGAAACACCUCUACGUGUAGAGACUUGACGGUACCGUAAGAAUAAGGAUCGGCUAACUCCGUGCCAGCAGCCGCGGUAAUACGGAGGAUCCAAGCGUUAUCCGGAAUCAUUGGGUUUAAAGGGUCCGUAGGCGGUUUGGUAAGUCAGUGGUGAAAGCCCAUCGCUCAACGGUGGAACGGCCAUUGAUACUGCCAGACUUGAAUUACUAGGAAGUAACUAGAAUAUGUAGUGUAGCGGUGAAAUGCUUAGAGAUUACAUGGAAUACCAAUUGCGAAGGCAGGUUACUACUAGUGGA